UAGUCCACGCCGUAAACGAUGUCUACUUGGAGGCUGGAACCUUGAGUUCUGGCUUUCGGAGCUAACGCGUUAAGUAGACCGCCUGGGGAGUACGGUCGCAAGAUUAAAACUCAAAUGAAUUGACGGGGGCCCGCACAAGCGGUGGAGCAUGUGGUUUAAUUCGAUGCAACGCGAAGAACCUUACCUACUCUUGACAUCUACAGAAGCCAGCGGAGACGCAGGUGUGCCUUCGGGAACUGUAAGACAGGUGCUGCAUGGCUGUCGUCAGCUCGUGUUGUGAAAUGUCGGGUUAAGUCCCGCAACGAGCGCAACCCCUAUCCUUGUUUGCCAGCACGUAAUGGUGGGAACUCCAGGGAGACUGCCGGUGAUAAACCGGAGGAAGGUGGGGACGACGCCAAGUCAUCAUGGCCCUUACGAGUAGGGCUACACACGUGCUACAAUGGCCGUGACAAAGAGUUGCUACUUUGUGAAAACAAGCUAAUCUCAUAAAACGCGGCCUCAGUUCGGAUUGCAGG
rnacentral:rRNA from 1 species